UGGGGAAUCUUGGACAAUGGGGGCAACCCUGAUCCAGCCAUGCCGCGUGAGUGAUGAAGGCCUUAGGGUCGUAAAGCUCUUUCGCCUGUGAAGAUAAUGACGGUAGCAGGUAAAGAAACCCCGGCUAACUCCGUGCCAGCAGCCGCGGUAAUACGGAGGGGGUUAGCGUUGUUCGGAAUUACUGGGCGUAAAGCGCACGUAGGCGGACCAGAAAGUUGGGGGUGAAAUCCCGGGGGCUCAACCCCGGAACUGCCUCCAAAACUAUUGGUCUAGAGUUCGAGAGAGGUGAGUGGAAUUCCAAGUGUAGAGGUGAAAUUCGUAGAUAUUUGGAGGAACACCAGUGGCGAAGGCGGCUCACUGGCUCGAUACUGACGCUGAGGUGCGAAAGUGUGGGGAGCAAACAGGAUUAGAUACCCUGGUAGUCCACACCGUAAAACGAUGAAUGCCAGUCGUCGGGUAGCAUGCUAUUCGGUGACACACCUAACGGAUUAAGCAUUCCGG
rnacentral:rRNA from 1 species